rnacentral:misc_RNA from 1 species
UUACUUAACUCGGCCCAAGCAAUGUCCCAAGCUUUUUGUUCUUAAAGAAAGACCUAUAUCUACAGUUUUGGGCUUGCCUCCGGCCUCCUGGUGAGCAUUACUUAUUUGUAUUCCGACCGAAGAAAGAAAGUUUUUUUAUCUCAUAAAGCAAGGACCUCUUUCACAUAAGAAAGUAGAGGAGGCGGGCUUGGGUACGAGAACAUAAUUGGAAGAAAUAAGGGUCGAAGUUUAGACCGCUCACAGUAGUUCUACCUAUAGAAAAGAUCAUCAGAGAGGAGACAACCCAUUUAUGAUUCCAGCCGAGAAGACUAGACUAGUAAAAGGAAGGAUCAAGAAUGUCAUAUAUUUCAGGAGCUCGAUUAGUUGCCGAUGAACAAGUAAGAAUUGCCUUAACAAAAAUGGAUGGAAUUGGACCUAAAAAAGCCAUUCAGGUUUGUUAUCGAUUAGGUAUCAGUGGGAACAUAAAGAUAAAAGAGUUAAAUAAGUAUCAGAUCGACCAAAUUGAACAAAUGAUAGGUCAAGAUCAUGUUGUUCAUUGGGAAUUGAAGAGGGGAGAACGAGCAGACAUCGAACGAUUAAUUUCUAUUUCUUGUUAUCGUGGAAUUCGUCAUCAAGAUGGAUUGCCCUUACGCGGUCAACGAACUCAUACUAAUGCUAGAACUUGUCGCAAGCUAAUUCGGAAAUGAAAGAAGUCUACCGAAAGCCCUUGGUACUUGUCUUAUCAAUCACACUGAUAGCUUCAAUAGUUCACUGAAAUUUUUUUGAGUUUUUUUUAUUUCACCAGUUACUAAUCCAGUAUACGUAUAGUCGGCCUCCUUCGCCACUCCACUAGUGGCUCGGCUUCGUCCUAGAAACUACUGCUUCCGCCUCUCUAGGCAUGAGCGAUAG